rnacentral:lncRNA from 1 species
AGCAGGUGCAAAGGCCUGGAGGUGAGACCAGCACGAUGCUUGGAAGUGUGGCUGGAGUGAAAGCUGAUGCGGCGGCAGGCAAGGCCAGGUGGAGGGUUCGGACUUUACGGGGGCAGUGAGGAGCCAGCGAGGGUCCUGAGCAGGGCCAGCCACAGCAGCCCUAAGGAAGAGCCAGCGAGCUGCUCUGACUCUCCUGCAGCGUCUCAGGGGCGCUCUCCCAUUAAACGGCUGAUCCCUGACCGAGACCUUCGGGGCCUGAUACUCCAUUCCUGCCCCUGCAGAGGUUCCGGCCCUGGCCAGUGCUGCCCUUCUGCCCUACCCAGCCCCUCCCCCCAGGCCGGGCAGCUCCUGAGGCCUCAGCUCCUGUCCCUUGUCUCAAGGUCACACCCACUGACUUGUCUUGGGGGUCCCGCUGUCUGACUCUGACCGUGACCCUUGGCCCGGGUUCUUCACCUUGACCCCCUGCCCCCUUCCUGCUUGCCCCAGCUUCAGGACUCUAUCUCCACGGCCCCUGCUCGGCGUCCCAGCCCGGAGCUGCAGCAGCCUCAGCUCCUGCCCCACAGAGCAGGGAAAAGGUUCGCCCUCCAGCCCACAGACACAGCGGGACCAGAGUCUGCACUGUGGGCGGGGAGGGAGGGGACGGCCACAGGGCCUCCAGGAAGGGGCUUCAGCAAGCCCACUGGGCACCUGUGUGGACAGAGAGGUGGGGGCAGAGACUUCUAAGACGAUAUGAGGCCCAAGGCAGGGACAAGGUGCUGAGAGCAGGGGUGGGAGUGUCAGGUGGGCUUCCCGGAGGAGGUGGUUGCCAAGCUGGGCCUUGGAAGAAUGUGAAGGGUUCAGACAGAGAGAGAAGGUGGGGAAGGAAUUCCAGGCAGCCCGAGCUGCCCUGCCGUGUCUUCCAGAACAGCUGUCCAGGAAGAAGAGUCACAACGGAACUCAGGAACUCAGCAACUCAGUGGCCAAGAAUGGAACAGAUGGAAACCUACAGACUCCUGAGUUCCGUGGACUUCCCCCGCCCGGGGGCCGGGGACCUGGCAGGCACCGUGCAUCCUCAGCUGCAGGUGUGGCAGGGGGAGGGGACUCCUGGGUCACAGCCUUGGAGGUGUCAGGGGAAACUGAGGCCCAAAGGGAGGGACCACAGGUGCCUCCCACAAGAUCACCAGCACCUUAGAAACAGAAGCAGGAGGACAGGAGCCCAGGCUCCCUCCUGCCUCCCCGGGAACCUCACGCUCAGGCCUGGAACUCGGGGCCACAGUGAUCGUCACAGCACCCAUGGAAGGCACAAGGGGACUCCUCAACAGUCUGGACACGGCUCUCCUGGCCACAGAAGGCAGAGGGAGGGCGGGGGUGUGGGGCAGGCAAGCCCCAGUUCCUCUGCUUGGAGGCGCAAAUACAGAGCCCUCUCUUUAUUUUCCGGUUAAUUUCCGAUUAACUCCUUGAGCAACCCUCUGCACGUUAGUUAGCAGAGAGUCCAGCGUCUCCUUCUCCAGGCCUCCCCUUCCUGAAUGUUCCCGGAAUCGCGCGGUCCUGCUUCUACCCACCAGAAGGAGGUUGGGAAGAAUGGGCGGGACACCAGCUGCUGCU